CACGUAGUUAGCCGGGGCUUUCUCGUGAGGUACCGUCACCGCGCCGCCCUCUUCGAACGGCACUCCUUCGUCCCUCACAACAGAGCUUUACGACCCGAAGGCCUUCUUCGCUCACGCGGCGUCGCUCCGUCAGGCUUUCGCCCAUUGCGGAAGAUUCCCUACUGCUGCCUCCCGUAGGAGUCUGGGCCGUGUCUCAGUCCCAGUGUGGCCGGUCACCCUCUCAGGCCGGCUACGCAUCGUCGCCUUGGUGAGCCGUUACCUCACCAACUAGCUAAUGCGCCGCGGGCCCAUCCGCAAGUGACAGCCCAAAGGCCGCCUUUCAACCGAAGACCAUGCGGUCUUCGGUGUUAUCCGGUAUUAGCUCCGGUUUCCCGGAGUUAUCCCGGUCUUGCGGGCAGGUUGCCCACGUGUUACUCACCCGUCCGCCGCUGACCGAAUCAAGGCAAGCCCCAAUCCGGUCCGCUCGACUUGCAUGUAUUAGGCACGCCGCCAGCGUUCGUCCUGAGCCAGGAUCAAACUCU
rnacentral:rRNA from 1 species